GCUGGAAUGGCCGAGUCGUUAAGGCGAGUGAUUUGAACUUGCAAACUCAUCACUUGGUGUUUCACCGCGUAGGUUCAAAUCCUGCUUCCAGCG